UUAAAGAAAGCGUAAUAGCUCACUGGUCGAGUCGGCCUGCGCGGAAGAUGUAACGGGGCUAAGUAGUAAACCGAAGCUGCGGCAAUGUGCUUUUGCACAUUGGGUAGGGGAGCGUUCUGUAAGCGGUUGAAGGUGUGUGGUAACGCAUGCUGGACGUAUCAGAAGUGCGAAUGCUGACAUGAGUAACGAUAAAGGGGGUGAAAAACCUCCUCGCCGGAAGACCAAGGGUUCCUGUCCAACGUUAAUCGGGGCAGGGUAAGUCGACCCCUAAGGCGAGGCCGAAAGGCGUAGUCGAUGGGAAACGGGUUAAUAUUCCCGUACUUCUUACAAUUGCGAUGGGGGGGACGGAGAAGGCUAGGUGGGCCUGGCGACGGUUGUCCAGGUUCAAGUGCGUAGGCU
rnacentral:rRNA from 1 species